rnacentral:tRNA from 1 species
CUUAGCAUAGUUUAAAGAUAAAACGGUGAUUAACCUCACUAUCAAGGUUCAAGCCCUCGUGCUUAC